rnacentral:tRNA from 1 species
GCCUGGGUGGCUCAGUCGGUUGAGCGUCCGACUUCAGCUCAGGUCAUGAACUCACUGAUUGUGAGUUCGAACCCCGCAUCGGGCU